rnacentral:rRNA from 1 species
CCUACGGGUGACAGCAGUGGGGAAUAUUGGGCAAUGGGCGCAAGCCUGACCCAGCAAUGCCGCGUGAAGGAAGAAGGCUUUCGGGUUGUAAACUUCUUUGACAGGGGCAGAGCAGAAGACGGUACCCUGAAAACAAGCCACGGCUAACUACGUGCCAGCAGCCGCGGUAAUACGUAGGUGGCAAGCGUUGUCCGGAUUUACUGGGUGUAAAGGGCGUGUAGCCGGGAAGGCAAGUCAGAUGUGAAAUCUGGAGGCUCAACCUCCAAAUUGCAUUUGAAACUGUUUUUCUUGAGUACUGGAGAGGCGGACGGAAUUCCUGGUGUAGCGGUGAAAUGCGUAGAUAUAAGGAGGAACACCAGUGGCGAAGGCGGUCUGCUGGACAGAAACUGACGGUGAGGCGCGAAAGCGUGGGGAGCAAACAGGAUUAGAUACCCCAGUAGUC